rnacentral:misc_RNA from 1 species
UUAAGUUCAGCGGGUAUCCCUACCUGAUUCGAGGUCAAAAUGAGGGGUGACUUGAUGGACGCGAGCCCGCCGAAGACCUUCCUGAGCGCAAAGUGCUGCGCGAGAAGCCGGCGGAGCCGCUGCCAAUGGAUUUGGGGCGAGUCCACGCCCGAAAGCGCGGACAGACGCCCAACACCAAGCGUGAGCUUGAAGGGUUAAAU